GACGAACGCUGGCGGCGUGCCUAAUACAUGCAAGUUGAGCGCUGAAGGUUGGUACUUGUACCAACUGGAUGAGCAGCGAACGGGUGAGUAACGCGUGGGGAAUCUGCCUUUGAGCGGGGGACAACAUUUGGAAACGAAUGCUAAUACCGCAUAAAAACUUUAAACACAAGUUUUAAGUUUGAAAGAUGCAAUUGCAUCACUCAAAGAUGAUCCCGCGUUGUAUUAGCUAGUUGGUGAGGUAAAGGCUCACCAAGGCGAUGAUACAUAGCCGACCUGAGAGGGUGAUCGGCCACCUUGGGACUGAGACACGGCCCAAGCUCCUACGGGAGGCAGCAGUAGGGAAUCUUCGGCCAUGGACGAAAGUCUGACCGAGCCACGCCGCGUGAGUGAAGAAGGUUUUCGGAUCGUAAAACUCUGUUGGUAGAGAAGAACGUUGGUGAGAGUGGAAAGCUCAUCAAGUGACGGUAACUACCCAGAAAGGGACGGCUAACUACGUG
rnacentral:rRNA from 1 species